GACGAACGCUGGCGGCGUGCUUAACACAUGCAAGUCGAACGGUGAGGCCUGGUUUUUGUGGGGGGUUGAUGUGGCGCGAAGGGGAGUGAAAUAUGUGUGUAAUGUGCCCUUGUUUGGGGGAUAUUCCGGGGAAACGGGCUCUUACAGGGUAUGCGAUAUUGCUGUGUGGGGGGGGUUGUGGAGAUUGGUUUGUUGGUUUUGGAUGGGCUCGCGGCCUAUCAGCUUGUUGGUGGGGUAGUGGCCUAGCAAGGCGACGACGGGUAGCCGGCCUGAGAGGGUGACCGGCCACACUGGGACUGAGACACGGCCCAGACUCCUACGGGAGGCAGCAGUGGGGAAUAUUGCACAAUGGGCGGAAGCCUGAUGCAGCAACGCCGCGUGCGGGAUGGCGGCCUUCGGGUUGUAAACCGCUUUCACCUGGGACGAAGCGAGAGUGACGGUAAGGGGUAAAGAAGCACCGGCUAACUACGUG
rnacentral:rRNA from 1 species